UAAACAGAAGUAUAAUAAUACAUUCGACUUCGAAUCGAAAAAAGGCCUAGCCCUGUUUAA
rnacentral:tRNA from 1 species